rnacentral:rRNA from 1 species
GACAGAGGGUGCAAACGUUGUUCGGAAUUACUGGGCGUAAAGCGAGUGUAGGCGGUCCUCUAAGUCGGGGGUGAAAGCCCCGGGCUCAACCCGGGAAGUGCACUCGAAACUGGAGGGCUAGAGUAUCGGAGAGGUUGGUGGAAUUCUCGGUGUAGAGGUGAAAUUCGUAGAUAUCGAGAGGAACACCGGUGGCGAAGGCGGCCAACUGGACGAAUACUGACGCUGAGACUCGAAAGCGUGGGGAGCAAACAGG